rnacentral:rRNA from 1 species
UACGUAGGGUGCAAGCGUUAAUCGGAAUUACUGGGCGUAAAGCGUGCGCAGGCGGUUGUGCAAGACAGAUGUGAAAUCCCCGGGCUCAACCUGGGAACUGCAUUUGUGACUGCACGGCUGGAGUGCGGCAGAGGGGGAUGGAAUUCCGCGUGUAGCAGUGAAAUGCGUAGAUAUGCGGAGGAACACCGAUGGCGAAGGCAAUCCCCUGGGCCUGCACUGACGCUCAUGCACGAAAGCGUGGGGAGCAAACAGA